rnacentral:rRNA from 1 species
AUGAGUUGUUUGAGCUAGAACUGCCGGGGGCUUGGGAACCCCGGGGCAGUUCGCGAGCUUCGCAACAUUGUGAAGCAAGAAGGGCCCGAUCUCUUGUUCGUUAUGGAGACGAAAAUUUCAGUGACUAGAGUGGAAAGCUUACAGAAUCUGCUAGGUUUCUCGGGCUGCUAUGCAGUUAGCAGUACGGGUCUGAGUGGAGGUAUUGGCAUGUUU